UAUAUAUAUAUAUAUAUAUAUAUAUAUAUAUAUAUAUAUAUAUAUAGUAGGGCUAGAAUAUUUGUAAAAGUAUCAUGGGGGUGAUACUUGUGUACUUGUAGCCUUUGGAUGGAGAGAUGUGAGGUUGAGAUGAUGGUGAUAGGUGGUGAUAGGUGGAAUAGUGUUUAAUUCAAGGGCUAUUAAUAAUCAAAAAGUAGAUCCAAUGGUUUAAAACCUAAUAGCACCAUGAUGGUGAUACUUGUAAAAGUAUCAUAGCUCAACUAUAUAUAUAUAUAUAUAUAUAUAUAUAUAUAGAGUGAGGCUACUAUGCUAUCUGAAGGCCUUCCGUGCUUCCAGCUUGUUUUUGAUGUUGCGACUUUCGAAUCGUCGAUCGGCUCCGUUAAACUUGAUCUAGAGUAUUUGGAGUACCUAGAAAAUACAUUUUAUUAUUUUUCGAUAUCAUUUGCCUAGUGAUUGAAUGUGCUCAAAAUCAACAAAUUUCAAUAGCCGUAGUGAGCCGUUUGCAAGUUUAACGGUGCAGAAAUAUCCAAAUCACGUGAAAUUUUGAUAUAAAAUUCUUUAUACUAUAUAAAACAAUAUCAAUAUCUUUGAUUUAAAAUUUUAAUGUCAUAUUAUUACAUUUUGUAAGAUUUUUAUUUUCAACCGUUGAUUUUGA
rnacentral:lncRNA from 1 species